UAAUUAGUCCUAAAAAUCCUAACUUCAGUAACAACAGAAUGUGGACAAAUUGAAAGCCUGCCAGUGCUCUCAAAAACAGUGGAUGGUGUGGUGGAAAGCCCUUGGAAGGAGAUGGGUGGAUGCAUGGGAGAUGCAGGCUACACUGCAGGGCUGCUGGCUUGCAGGAGAGAACCGAGAAUGAGGGAGAGCUGGGGAAAGUUCUCUUGUGGUUGAAACAAAUGCCAGACACUCUUCAAUGGAGCCCAUGUUUGUUUGGUUCAGUCUGUGAAGUAAUUCAAACCUCAGUGCAUGAUUGAAAAUAGUACAAUUUUCCAUCUGCAAGUGGCAG